rnacentral:sRNA from 1 species
UCGCUCUUCAACGAGGAAUCCCUAGUAAGCGUAAGUCAUCAGCUUGCGUUGACUACGUCCCUGCCCUUUGUACACACCGCCCGUCGCUACUACCGAUUGAAUGGCUUAGUGAGGUCUUCGGAUCGGCGGUUGAUGAGUAGCAAUAUUCGCCGAUUGCUGAGAAGUUGAUCAAACUUGGUCAUUUAGAGGAAGUAAAAGUCGUAACAAGGUUUCCGUAGGUGAACCUGCGGAAGGAUCAUUAUAAAAUUUUCGUAUAUUUUAUUUUUAAAUAUAUAAAAUUACACAUUCAAAACCCACACUCUUGUAACCAUUUAUAAAAUAUAUUAUAUCUUGCAUAUAAUAAUAAUUAAAAACAACUUUCAACAACGGAUCUCUUGGCUCUCGCAUCGAUGAAGAACGCAGCGAAUUGCGAUAAGUAAUGUGAAUUGCAGAAUUACGUGAAUCAUCGAAUCUUUGAACGCAUAUUGCACUCUCUGGUAAUCCGGGGAGUAUGCCUGUUUGAGGGUCAGUAAAUAAAUUAUCACAAUCGUUAGUUGUGGAAUUGGGCUCUUAUUUCGAAUAGAUUUAUGGCCUUAAAUUUACGUCAUGUGCUUAAUUCGAACCAAACGGAGCAAUAAAACAUUCUCGUUAGACGGAUUACUCACAAGCCAUUACGAUUUUUUGGACGACAAAAAGCACUUUCACGAGCGCGAAGCCCAAGAUCGUAAAUUCAUCCUGACAAAUGACCUCAAAUCAGGCAAGAAUACCCGCUGAACUUAAGCAUAUCAAUAAGCGGAGGAAAAGAAACUAACAAGGAUUCCCCUAGUAACGGCGAGUGAAGAGGGAAGAGCUCAAAUUUUAAAUCCGCCUUGUUCGCAAGGCCGAGUUGUAAUUUGAAGAAGCGUUUUCUUGGGCUCGCUGCCGGUAGAAGUUCUUUGGAGCAGGACAUCAUAGAGGGUGACAAUCCCGUCUGUGACCGGUCGCGCGGUUCAUCUACGAUACGCUUUCAAAGAGUCGAGUUGUUUGGGAUUGCAGCUCCAAAUGGGUGGUAAACAUCACCUAAGGCUAAAUAUUGGCGAGAGACCGAUAGCGAACAAGUACCGUGAGGGAAAGAUGAAAAGAACUUUGAAAAGAGAGUUAAACAGUACGUGAAAUUGUUGAAAGGGAAACGAUUGAAGUCAGUCGUGCUGGCGCGAAAUCAGCUCGACCACUAGGGGAUCACGGGCCGUAGCGAGCCUCAAAACCGUUACGACUUGUGAUUGCUUAGUGGCCUGGUGCACUUUCGUGUCGGCUGGUUAACAUCAAUUUCGAUCGUCAUAAAAAGGCUGGAGGGAUGUGGCUCCUUCGGGAGUGUUGUAACCUUUGGCGGAAUGUGGUGGUCGGGAUUGAGGUUUGCAACGAAUGCCUUCAGGGCUGUUCCACCUGGCCUCUCAUCGGCAUCCUGGCGACGACAGCUUGCUGACGUUGUUAGGAUCAGCCUUCGAACAGGCUAGAGUGUGAGCAAAUUCGUUAAGGAUGUUAACGUAAUGGCUUUAAACGACCCGUCUUGAAACACGGACCAAGGAGUCUAGCAUAUAUGCGAGUGUU